AUGGAUGCCGCAGAACAACAAAUCAAAGAGCUGCGUGAAGAUCAUAAUCGGAGAUUUGACCAGCUAGUUGAGAUGAUAAGAAAGGGUGUUCCCCCUGCUGCCAAUGAAGGAGAUUCAUCUAAAGAAAAGGGGAUGUUCAACAAAGGAGAGGUAAUCUUGGAGCAAGACCACCACAACAUCGUGUUGUUCAACGUGCUUCAAGAAGACCAAUUUAUGUUGAAGCUUCUGAAGGUGAAGAAUAUGAUGAUGCCCUUGAAGAACCUGAUCUCUAUGCAUAUCGGGAAGUACCCAACCCUACAUAUGCAAAAGAUACAUACAAGGUGA
rnacentral:rRNA from 1 species